GUUGAAAUUGCUGAAAAACUUAAUGCAUUAGUUCAUGAAGAAAGGAGUAAAAACACACAGUGCAUCAUAGUUUGAUGCAUAGUGACCUUGAUGACCCCUAUUCCAUGCUAUAAGCUACAUUAAUCGGGAUGUGAUCAUCAGAACUGGACCCUUGAGCAAUGGAAGAAGGUUGCCAGGUAUUUUUUAGAUCAGGUGGGCAUUUGGAUGCAUGUGCAUUGUUUACCUGGGGAAGAGAUGGCAGCAGGAUGCAUUACCAUGACCAUGUGCACCAUUUGAUGGACUCUUUCAGCAGCAUAAUACACCCUGACACUCUGCAAAAAUUGUUCAGGAAUGUUUUGAGUAACAUAACAAAGAGUUCAGGGUGUUGCCUUGACCUCCAAU